AUCCCAAGUGAGCUACCAUCUUUACUUUCCAUGUUUAUGCAUCAUCUUUGCAUCAUGCAUGUCAUAUCAUGUCACCUUUGGUUUUUAAUAAAAUUGCAUUUGGUUUUGUUGCUCUUUAUGUUAUGUGUUUGUUCUCCCUCUUUCUCUCUCUUGUUUCAUCGCACCACUUGUGAUGUUACAAGAAAAGCCUACAUAUCCUUUUUCUACCACUUGACCGUUUUCAAAAAGGUCAUGCCAAAACUUUCUAGUAAUAUUGGUUAAUAUUUAACCCCUCUCCUAUAUCUUCUAUUUUAUAAUUAGUCAACACAACUUUUGUUUUGGUUACAUAUAAAACAUUAUUGCACACAAAUUAUUUUACCAAUCUCUCUCUACUCCUUUUCACAUUCAGUUGUGUUUAAAAUGGUUCUAACAAAAAUCUGAGAAGUUUUUGGAAGUAAAGAGGGAAAAAAAAAACAAAACUAACCUAUCCACUCUAUCCUACCCAGCCGAACCAGCCCAUCCACCUUGCCCUGUUUCUCUUCUUCGGGAGAAAAGGAGCAGCAGCGCCCACCUGCUCGCAUGCCCCAGCGCCUCCACCUGCCCCGCUCCCUUUUUCUCCUCUCUCCAAACCGAGCCAACCAAAACCCUAACCUUCUCCCUCUCUGGCCGCCGCCACUCCUCUUCUUCCCGAGAGAGAACCAAAGAAAAAUUCAGAGAUAUUCAGUACCUUUGUUAACUCUGCCGGAGUUCGCCGUCGCUGUAGAGGCCGCCACGCCGAGCUAGCGGCGGGGAUGGAGCUUCCAUGGCGCCCGCCAACUCCAUGCUGAAGGCCAGGAGCGGAGGCUGCCCUGGAACGACGACACGGACCUCGCAUCGUCUCCUGCUUCUUCUACACCGACGGUCGCCCGUGUCUCUGCUUCCACUUCUGCGUCCGCGCCGCCGUCUUCUUCCCGGUACGCGCCGUCGUCCGUGGCCUCGUCUCGGAUCUUCUCCAAGCCGGUUCCCUUCGCCGACAACCUCCCGACAUCGGCACCAAGCAGUUCGAGGAGUUCCUCUACAUCACCCCUGAUGAUCGCGUUCGUGUUUCCUCUUCCGAUUUGACAGGCGAGCCCACCCCUUCACCUAUUUUACAUUUUCAUGCUCUUUUGAUCUAUUGCUAUCCCUAUGUUGCGAUUCUGUUGUGUCACGUGUCCUAUUCCACCUGUUGCCCUAUAUUACCGAAUUACACCUCCUCGCCCUACCCAUUGUUUGUUGUUUGCCAGCUUUGCGAGUCGUAGGCGAGUUUAGGGUUCUGUUGAUAUCUCGAAAUGUUCGGGAUAUCUUGUUGGGUAGUUGUUUACUUGCUAUAUCUGUUGUUGGAGAUAUUCAUGGCUCACCCUAAUGUUAAUAUUAAAAUGGAUAAGAAGAGGCAUCGGUGGGUCAGCUGUAUAUUUUGGUUUUA